UUAAGUGGUUGAAAUUAAUUCAUAUUUUAAUAUGUAAAAACAUAAACAAUUAUUUACAAAAUUAAAUAAACUUGAGCUCUUUAGCUUACGUACAAGUUAAGGUAAUGCCACUUGAACGCAAUGGCUGAAUUUCCAUUCGCGAAGUCCAAGCAGUUGGACGUCUCCAGGACCACCAUCUACGCUGUCAGCAAGACUGAAACGUUAUAGAGGAAGAAGGACUCAUUCAAAAGGCCAAACAGGAGUCAGUGGAGUUAAAUAAAACAGCCUAGGACAAUCCCUCAAGUCCAUGAGGGCCCGAGCGAGAGAUCUCGGGGUUUAACGGCAGACUGUUCAGAGACGUAUAAAAAAGUGGGUAGAAAGGACCUUCUUAGGCCACUUUUGACACCAGCAAUGAAAGAACCACAACUUCUCCGUUGAAAAACUCUUUUGAAUGUUUUGCUAUUAGUCUGUAGGUUUCUUUUUUGACACUUUUUAACCCUGAUAAAACACACACAAGACCUUCAGUAUCUGUCAUCCAAUUACUUUGGCCCUCAAUGCCACUGUCACCCAGAACUGGGACUCCAUGAUAGAGGACUACAUCCGCAGCGGCUUGUUGAAGUUUGAAAAUCAAAGUGUUCAGAUUUUAAUGGACCACUCGGGACUUCCUUGGUACGGAGUGGGACUUGUGUCUGCUUCCUUCAACCCCUCCUUCUAAAUGCAUAUAGUUGAUAUAAUGGACCGUCAUAACAGCUAAGCUGCUCUCCUUUAAAACAUUCUUCAAGUUGUGGGGAAACCCAUUUUAAUCUUCGGCUUUUCAUUUAUUCCACCUAUGUUUUUCGCCAAAGUGUCCGAGUUUGUACAAAACACAUUCUGGAAGAGUUAGAAAACAAAUCUGUGUUCCUGUUCUAACAAAAAUCACACAAUGGAAGUUCCUCACAUAUUGUAUACGUAUAAAAAAGCUCAUAG
rnacentral:lncRNA from 1 species